GAUGAACGCUGGCGGCGUGCCUAAUACAUGCAAGUCGAGCGAACAGACGAGGAGCUUGCUCCUCUGACGUUAGCGGCGGACGGGUGAGUAACACGUGGAUAACCUACCUAUAAGACUGGGAUAACUUCGGGAAACCGGAGCUAAUACCGGAUAAUAUAUUGAACCGCAUGGUUCAAUAGUGAAAGACGGUUUUGCUGUCACUUAUAGAUGGAUCCGCGCCGCAUUAGCUAGUUGGUAAGGUAACGGCUUACCAAGGCAACGAUGCGUAGCCGACCUGAGAGGGUGAUAGGCCACACUGGAACUGAGACACGGUCAAGACUCCUACGGGAGGCAGCAGUAGGGAAUCUGCCGCAAUGGGCGAAAGCCUGACGGAGCAACGCCGCGUGAGUGAUGAAGGUCUUCGGAUCGUAAAACUCUGUUAUUAGGGAAGAACAAAUGUGUAAGUAACUAUGCACGUCUUGACGGUACCUAAUCAGAAAGCCACGGCUAACUACGUG
rnacentral:rRNA from 1 species